rnacentral:rRNA from 1 species
UGCCAGUAGUCAUAUGCUUGUCUCAAAGAUUAAGCCAUGCAUGUCUAAGUAUAAAUAGUAUACAGUGAAACUGCGAAUGGCUCUUUAAAACAGUUAUAGUUUAUUUGAUAAUUGACAAUUACAUGGAUAACCGUGGUAAUUCUAGAGCUAAUACAUGCUUAAACGCCCGACUUUAUGGAAGGGUGGUAUUUAUUAGACUGAAGCCAAUAUUCCUUGUGUCUAUUGCGGUGAUUCAUAAUAACUGAUCGAAUCUCUUUUUGAGAUAAAUCAUUCAAGUUUCUGCCCUAUCAGCUUUCGAUGGUAGUGUAUUGGACUACCAUGGCAGUAACGGGUAACGAAGAAUUAGGGUUCGAUUUCGGAGAGGGAGCAUGAGAAACGGCUACCACAUCUAAGGAAGGCAGCAGGCGCGUAAAUUACCCAAUCCUGACUCAGGGAGGUAGUGACAAGAAAUAGCAAACCGGGAACCUCAUGGUUUCACGGUAUUGCAAUGAGAACAAUUUAAAACCCUUAGCGAGAAUCAAGUGGAGGACAAGUCUGGUGCCAGCACCCGCGGUAAUUCCAGCUCCACUAGCGUAUAUUAAAGUUGUUGCAGUUAAAAAGCUCGUAGUUGAACCUCUGUCUGGGGCUAGUUUUGGCUUUGGUCAGGCUAGUUCUAGGCAUCCGCCUACAAGACUUAGAGGGCAUUCAGUUGUUCACUAGGAGGAGUAGGCAUUUUACUUUGAAAAAAUUAGAGUGUUUAAGGCAGGCAAUCGCCCGCAUAUAUUAGCAUGGAAUAAUAGAAUAGGACACCUUUCCAUUUCGUUGGUUAUUGGAAUCGUGUAAUGAUUAAUAGGGACAGUUGUGGGCAUUUGUAUUUAAUUGUCAGAGGUGAAAUUCUUGGAUUUAUUAAAGACAAACUAACGCGAAAGCAUUUGCCAAGGAUGUUUUCAUUAAUCAAGAACGAAAGUUAGGGGAUCAAAGACGAUCAGAUACCGUCCUAGUCUUAACUAUAAACUAUUCCGACUCAAUGUUUGACUGGCUCAUAUAACCAGUUGAGCGUUGUAUGAGAAAUCAAAGUCUUUAGGUUCUGGGGGGAGUAUGGUUGCAAAGCUGAAACUUAAAGGAAUUGACGGAAGAGCACAACCAGGAGUGGAUUCUGCGGCUUAAUUUGACUCAACACGGGGAAACUUACCAGGUUAAAACAUUAGUGGGAUUGACAGUUUGAGAGCGCUUUCUUG